rnacentral:rRNA from 1 species
AUUGAACGCUGGCGGCAGGCCUAACACAUGCAAGUCGAACGAGUGGCGGACCGGUCAGUCAUGCCUGCCAACCUGCCCGACGGAGGGCGAUAACUACUGGCAACGGUACCUACUACCGCACACCCUCAGAUCUCCCCAGAUGGGAUUAGCUAGUUGGUGGGGUACCGGCUCACCAGGGCGACGCUCCCUAGCUGGUCUGAGAGGAUGACCAGCCACACUGGAACUGAGACACGGUCCAGACUCGUACGGGAGGCAGCAGUGGGGAAUAUUGCACAAGGGGCGCAAGCCUGAUGCAGCCAUGCCGCGUGUAUGAAGAAGGCCUUCGGGUUGUAAAGUACUGUCAGCGGGGAGGCGUUACCCGCAGAAGAAGCACCGGCUAACUCCGUGCCAGCAGCCGCGGUAAUAC